CCCGCCCCGGGCUCCUGGCCGUGCUGCCAGCCGGGCACGCUCACCGGCAGGGCUGGGCCGGGGCAGGAGCCCUGCCCGGGGGGACAGGGAGUGCCUUUGCCAGGGGAUUCCUUUCCCAGGGAAUUCCUUUUCCCAGGGAAUUCAUUUUUCAGGGAAUUCCUUUUCCCAGGGGAUUCCUUUCCCAGGGAAUUCCUUUCCCAGGGAGUUCCUUUCCCAGGGGAUUCCUUUCCCAGGGAAUUCCUUUCCCAGGGAGUUCCUUUCCCAGGGGAUUCCUUUCCCAGGGAGUUCCUUUCCCAGGGGAUUCCUUUCCCAGGGAGUUCCUUUCCCAGGGAAUUCAUUUUUCAGGGAAUUCCUUUUCCCAGGGAGUUCCUUUCCCAGGAGAUUCCUUUUCCAGGGAAUUCCUUUCCCAGGGAGUUCCUUUCCCAGGGAAUUCAUUUUUCACGGAAUUCCUUUUCCCAGCUGAUUCCUUUCCCAGGGGAUUCAUUUUUCAGGGAAUUCCUUUUCCCAGGGGAUUCCUUUUUUUCCCCCUGGCACACCUGCAGCACCACAGGCCUCGGGCUGGAGCUCAGAUGCAUUAUUCAGGCUUCCCACAGUUUCUUCCUCCUUUAAGCCAUAAGAUUUCCCUCAUUUUAAAAUGGAAUUCUCAUUGUGAUUGGUUGGCCAUUCCCUUAUCCAAACAUUUCUCUGGAGUCUUUUUUUUUCCCCAAAAAUAUAUAUAUUUUUUCCCCUCCCCAAGCAGAACAAGGAUUUCUUGUCUUGGGAACAAGGAUAUAGGAACAUCCCUGGGAGGGGAUUUCCCUUCUGCUGCCACGCAGCUCAAAAGCUGACGAUGGAAUUUUCUGGAACGGGAAUUCCCUUGUCCUGCAGAAGAUUGCCCUGGUGCAGGGAGUGCAAACCCCAGGCAGCACCUGGCCUGGCCCAGCCUUUCAUUGUUCCUCUGAUUUCCAUCUCCCUGCUGUUAGAUUCCAUCCUGCAUCCAGUAUUUUCUCCCCGUUCCCCAAAGAAAUCCCUGGAUUCCCUGCCCUUCCCCAAAGACAUCCCUGAGUUUCCCCAAAGGGAAAUUUCCCUGCCCUUCCCCAAAGGUGCCAACUGACAAGCAGAUGUACUGCAAAAGGGACACUGCAGCCAAAACACUGCUGUUUUAUUUUGAAUUAAGUCUUGUGGAGCUCUCUUCAUGCUAGGAUAUUUUUAUUUUCUUUGUACAACCUACAAUCGUGUACUCUUAACAGAGAUUUACUUUAAAGAGGAGAAGAAGAAGAAAAAGAAAAUCUGGAAGUAUUCUUUAAAAAACAAAAAAUACACAAAAAUCUUUAUUAAUAAUCCUGUAUUUUUACUGAUCAUGUUUGAAUGUCUAAAAAAAAGACUUUAUUGUUCUAAUUAUCCAGAUGUAUGUUUGUAAAAUAGCUCUUUUAUGACUUAGCUGAUCGGGUUGUAUGUUUCUGGAAUUAAAUAUUGGUCACUUAAAAAAAAAAAAAAAAAAGAAGGAAUCUGUUUUCAGGACCUGGGAAAUAGAAAAUUUAAGCGUUUCAAAUAUCAUUAAAUAAGCUUAAAGGAAAAGCA